rnacentral:rRNA from 1 species
CCUACGGGAGGCAGCAGUGGGGAAUAUUGGACAAUGGGGGCAACCCUGAUCCAGCCAUGCCGCGUGUGUGAAGAAGGCCCUCGGGUUGUAAAGCACUUUCAGUGAGGAAGAACGCCUGGUGGUUAAUACCCAUCAGGAAAGACAUCACUCACAGAAGAAGCACCGGCUAACUCCGUGCCAGCAGCCGCGGUAAUACGGAGGGUGCGAGCGUUAAUCGGAAUUACUGGGCGUAAAGCGCGCGUAGGUGGCUUGAUAAGCCGGUUGUGAAAGCCCCGGGCUCAACCUGGGAACGGCAUCCGGAACUGUCAAGCUAGAGUGCAGGAGAGGAAGGUAGAAUUCCCGGUGUAGCGGUGAAAUGCGUAGAGAUCGGGAGGAAUACCAGUGGCGAAGGCGGCCUUCUGGACUGACACUGACACUGAGGUGCGAAAGCGUGGGUAGCAAACAGGAUUAGAUAUCCCAGUAGUC